rnacentral:rRNA from 1 species
CAAUAAGCGGAGGAAAAGAAACCAACAGGGAUUGCCCUAGUAACGGCGAGUGAAGCGGCAACAGCUCAAAUUUGAAAUCUGGCGCAAGCCCGAGUUGUAAUUUGUAGAGGAUGCUUCUAGGUAGCGACCGGUCUAAGUUCCUUGGAACAGGACGUCAUAGAGGGUGAGAAUCCCGUAUGUGACUGGCCCGCACCUUCUACGUAGCUCCUUCGACGAGUCGAGUUGUUUGGGAAUGCAGCUCUAAAUGGGAGGUAAAUUUCUUCUAAAGCUAAAUACCGGCCAGAGACCGAUAGCGCACAAGUAGAGUGAUCGAAAGAUGAAAAGCACUUUGGAAAGAGAGUUAAAAAGCACGUGAAAUUGUUGAAAGGGAAGCGCUCACAACCAGACUUCUGGGCGGUGUUCCGCCGGUCUUCUGACCGGUCUACUCACCGUCCCGAGGCCAACAUCAUCUGGGACCGCCGGAUAAGACCUUAGGAAUGUAGCUCCCCUCGGGGAGUGUUAUAGCCUGUGGUGAUGCGGCGCGUCUCGGGUGAGGUCCGCGCUUCGGCAAGGAUGUUGGCGUAAUGGUUGUCAGCGGCCCGUCUUGAAACACGGACCAAGGAGUCUAACAUCUAUGCGAGUGUUCGGGUGUCAAACCCCUACGCGUAAUGAAAGUGAACGGAGGUGGGAAGGGUAACCUGCACCAUCGACCGAUCCUGAUGUCCUCGGAUGGAUUUGAGUAAGAGCAUAGCUGUUGGGACCCGAAAGAUGGUGAACUAUGCCUGAAUAGGGUGAAGCCAGAGGAAACUCUGGUGGAGGCUCGCAGCGGUUCUGACGUGCAAAUCGAUCGUCAAAUUUGGGUAUAGGGGCGAAAGACUAAUCGAACCAU